GCGGGUGUGGCGAAAUUGGUAGACGCGCUAGACUUAGGAUCUAGUGCCGAAAGGUGUGGGGGUUCGAGUCCCUUCACCCGCA
rnacentral:tRNA from 1 species